rnacentral:rRNA from 1 species
UACGUAGGGUGCGAGCGUUGUCCGGAAUUACUGGGCGUAAAGAGCUCGUAGGUGGUUUGUCGCGUUGUUCGUGAAAUCUCACGGCUUAACUGUGAGCGUGCGGGCGAUACGGGCAGACUAGAGUACUGCAGGGGAGACUGGAAUUCCUGGUGUAGCGGUGGAAUGCGCAGAUAUCAGGAGGAACACCGGUGGCGAAAGCGGCUUCCUGGUCCGACACCGACGUUCAGGCACGAAAGCGUGGGGAGCAAACAGG